UACGGAGAGUGCAAACGUUGUUCGGAUUCACUGGGCGUAAAGGGCGCGUAGGCGGGCCGUCAAGUCAGGGGUGAAAUCCUCCGGCUCAACCGGAGAACAGCUUCUGAUACUGACGAUCUCGAGGGGGGUAGGGGCGCGUGGAACUUCCGGUGGAGCGGUGAAAUGCGUAGAUAUCGGAAGGAACGCCGGUGGCGAAAGCGACGCGCUGGGCCCUUUCUGGCGCUGAGGCGCGAAAGCCAGGGGAGCAAACGGG
rnacentral:rRNA from 1 species